rnacentral:lncRNA from 1 species
UUCCCCAGGUGCGUGACCUUCAAAUACAUUCCUUACAAUACUUGAAUAGAUACCAAUACAACUAUAACCAUUAACUCAUAAUACACACUUAUUCGAUCAGCUUUCCUUUUUCCUUUGUUCGUGCCUGAGCCUUCAGGUUGCUCAUACAUAACUGAAAACAUUUAAUUUAAGCAAGGAUGAGCAUUUAAGUGCCCAGCAAGUAAUAACAAUUAUAUAUAAGCUGAAAGAAUAUAAGUAUUCUCUUUACAUAACACUUCUACAACGAAUUGAAAGUUGUGAAGUAAUCUGUACUGAUAAAAAAUUCACAUAACAACUCUCUUUCAAAUUCUUUAAAUUUGGCUCUGGCUCUACCCUUGAAUAGGGUUUAAGAAACAUACUAUGAACAUUCUUUUCAUUUUCGAAAAGGUUUAGCGGAAUUCUAUCCUCAAACCGUCAUAACUUACGGGCACGGAGGGUGAUCAGCCCCGUUGUACCCUGUAUUGAUCAAUACUACAUAACUUGAACGAAAUUCAUCGCUCACUCUAUCCGCCUUGCGCAAAAAUCUUCCCAUAUAGGGAUGUUCAUACAUGCCUGGUUCCAAACCCGAAGGUUUUUAAUCUUGCUCAACAAUAAUAUGUAAUUCAACAUAUAUAUACGGGUAAUUGACAAAGGUGUAUCAACAUGUGAACAAAUGCCAUGAUUAUCCAAGUGGGGACACUUGUAUAACCAUUUAUAGAAAUCAAUGAACAGAAUAUAUAUCUGAGCUAACAUGUCGAUAAUCAAAGAGUACAUAAUCUGUACAGGGAUAGAAUAAUUCUGAAACUUCUUACUCAUGUCCAUUGCAUAAAGGAAGUGCAAAGGUAGGAUACUUGCCUGAUUCGCUGAUUACAAAUCUCAACUUAGGUUUUAUCUCUUUAUCACAACCUAUCAAUAAUCAGAUCAUUCGUUCGAUUAGAACAAUAUAUCUUAACACAUAGUACUGUCUAUUACAGUCAGCACAUAGUCUAAUCACAUAAUCACAGUGAUCAUACUUUUAGUUCCUAUUCUAUACUUGAAAUAUUUUUAUACAUUUUUCAAAUAUCUCAUCCAUGCUCUUACAGUAGUCUUUUCUUUCUUUUAUAAGGUCUGACAUUUGUCGGCGUACCGACAGCUUUAUCGGGUAAAUACUGAGUCUAAGACUCUUAUUCUAUACCUCAACAUCUGUAAAUAUCAGACAUCUUAUUUUUAAUCAUUUUCGCAAUUUCCAGAAAUUGAAAAAUUUAAAAUAAUUCAAAUCUGUCACUAAAGGGCCUAUAGUGAUAUAACUGUUACUAUAGGUGUUCUUCUUCAAAUUCAGAACUUCAUAAUCGGUUCUCAAGUCAGCUAGUUUGGCCGGCUAUAACUUUCAAAUAUCGGAAUCAUAAUUAAAUGAUUUAAACAUUAAACAAUUCCAUUAUCAUUAAUAGUUUAAUUAAUACUAAACUAUUAAUGAAACCAUUGCCAAAAUAUAAAAGUUAUUUAUAAUAACUCAAACUAUUUUUAAAACAUUUAUAUUACCCAAAUAAUUACCAUUAAUAUUUAAAUAUUAAUGUACUAUUUAUCCAAAUAUUAAAAGUCAUUAAUUAUAACUUAAAAUAUUUUUAAAUCCUUAAUAUCCUCUUUAAAUGGUUUUUAAAUAAGUAAAACCAUUUUUAAACUAUUUAUUUAAUAUUAAUCAUUAAAUAAACUAAAUAUCAUUAAUAUUAUCUUAAUAUCAUUAAUAUUUAAUUAUUAAUGAAAUUAUCAUUUAAAUAUUAAAAGUUAUAUUUUAUAACUUAAAAUAUUUUUAAAUACCUUAUUUUCAUUUAAAAUGAUUUUUAUAAUAUUAAAAUCAUUUUUAAACUAAAUUAUUUAAUAUAAUCAUUAAAUAACUUUAAUAUCAUUAAUAAUUAUUAAUUAAUGAAAUUCAUCACAAAAUAUUAAAAGUCAUCACAAAUAACUCAUUUACAUAAUCAAUUCCAAGCCAAAAUAAACAUAGUAAACUAACUAGUUUAUUAACAACACUAACUAAACUUCAAAAAUUCAAACUUUAACUAACAAUUAAAAAUAAUAACAUUACAAAAAUUAAAUAAGAAACAUACCCGGAAAUACGAAUUCCACAGACUGAAUACGCACUUCCACGCCAAAAUUUAACUAAGGAGAUCUUUAUAAAAAGUUCUCCCACAACAAAGCCUUUCUCAAAAAUUGG